CCUGGCGGCUUUAGCGCGGUGGUCCCACCUGACCCCAUGCCGAACUCAGAAGUGAAACGCCGUAGC
rnacentral:rRNA from 6 species